rnacentral:rRNA from 1 species
UACAGAGGGGGCAAGCGUUGUUCGGAAUUACUGGGCGUAAAGGGCGCGUAGGCGGCCUUCUAAGUCAGACGUGAAAUCCCUCGGCUCAACCGGGGAACUGCGUCUGAGACUGGAAGGCUUGAAUCCGGGAGAGGGAUGUGGAAUUCCAGGUGUAGCGGUGAAAUGCGUAGAUAUCAGGAAGAACACCAAUGGCGAAAGCAGCUUUCUGGGACGGUACUGACGCUGAGGCGCGAAAGCUAGGGGAGCGAACGGG